GAAGCAUCACCCCAAUUACCCCUGAACCAUUUUCUGCCCUCAUUCAUUUCUUCUUCUCUAAUCGACAGAUUCCAAAUACCAUUUCUUCACAAUCCACAUCAGAUUUCCAUUUUUUUACAGUGAGUGAUCGAAAGAGAGAUGAAAUUGCAGGAGGGAGAUGUCUGUACACCACUUUGCUUUUGGUCCUAUCAUUGAUUCUCUUGAUCGCAUUCGCCGAUUUUGCUUAGAUUGUAAACCCAAAUGUACAUACCGAUGCUCUGUAACAUCACACAAGAAGCCAUUAAGGGAAGGUUGAGAGGUUGGUAGAAAAACAGAGAAGAAAGGGAGGGAAAGAGCAAAUCGGAAACAACACAACAAGUGGGGGUUCGUGGGUUUGCUCAGCAACCGAGGGGAGAUGGAGAGGUUAACAACCGAUUUUUCCAAUGGGCUCUCUUCGUUGACUGUUAGCUUAUCUCACCGGAGUUGUGGAUUUGAGGGAAAGAAGGGGUCGAGCAAAACAACAAUAGAGGGUGUCUAGGGUGAUGCUUCUUAACACACACACACACACACACACAUAGAGAGAGAGAGAGAGAGAGAUUAAAUUUCUUUCACUUUUUCUUUUUUUUAAUAAAAAAUUAAGAUAAUAAGAGAAAAUCUCAUAAAUGGUCCCUGGGUAUUGAAAUGAUGAAAAUGACCCUCAUUUAACGGUCGAAAACUGACGGAGUAAGGCGGAAGGACUAAAUAUUAAAAGUUUUGAAACCACAUGGACCAUCCAUGAGGUUUUUGUAAAUUAAGGACCAAACUUCAGAUUUUCGGAAACCACAGGGACCAUUUUUGAAGUUUUUUCUAUUGCUAUUUAUCGUAUACAUAAAACUAAAAUUCAACAUUGAUCGAUACUUUUCAUAUUUUUCUGAAAGGCUUUUUUUUCUAUUUUUUUUCAGGUAGGAUAUAUAAACAGAUUUCUUUCUCUUACAUCUUUGAGAUAGAUUAUAGUUUGUUAUUUAGUUAUGAUAUGGUUUUUUUCGCAAAAUACUAACCAUGAUUGAGUCAUGCUUCAUUGUCUGAGUUGUAACAUUGUAGCUUAUGUUUUUGUCUUUUUUGUUGUUCUAGCUAGAGAAUGCUUCUCUGGAGUGGAUCAUAAUCGAUUGUUAUUUUUUAAUAUACAGUAGGAUAUCUAAAAGAAAUAUAUUUUGUAAAAAUUUUAGCUUAGUGUUGUAAACAGUUAUUGCUAAUAUUUUCAGUUUCUAGUUAACAA